rnacentral:rRNA from 1 species
GACGUAGGGGGCGAGCGUUGUUCGGAAUUACUGGGCGUAAAGAGCUCGUAGGCUGGAAAUUAAGUCUUUGAAUAAAUCUCCCGGCUUAACCGGGAACAAUUUAGAGAUACUGAUUUUCUUGAGAACAGGAGAGGGGAAUGGAAUUCCUAGUGUAGCGGUGAAAUGCGUAGAUAUUAGGAGGAACACCAGUGGCGAAGGCGGUUCUCUGGCCUGUUUCUGACGCUGAGGAGCGAAAGCUGGGGGAGCGAACGGGAUUAGAUACCCCGGUAGUCCCAGCUGUAAACGAUGGAUACUAGGUGUAGGAGGUAUCGACCCCUUCUGUGCCGCAGUUAACACAAUAAGUAUCCCGCCUGGGGAGUACGGCCGCAAGGCUAAA